CUGCAAUUCUGUAGAAUGUGAGGCAAAAUAGUGCUCUUUUAUCGUGGUUUGCCAAUCGUGGUAACAUAGCAGCAUUCUUGUUGUGAUUUCACCAGAAUCAAUAUAGCGUGAAAAUCCAUUAAAAAACGAGAAAAAAUGCACCGUGUGAACAUAGCCUAUAAAUCAUGCGCCCCUAUCUGGGGGACACCCGCUCCGGCUCGUUGUGAUGUAUUUCUUGUGACUUAUCUAUCUUCAGCCAAGCACAUAUUGGGCCACUGAACUUGUAUUAGGAGGGAUCCAGCUGUGCAUGUAUUAUAAUCCAAUGAUGACAGGCUGCCGAGAGGAGGCAUUAGUAUGGAAGCCACAUUCUUCAUCCGCAGAGAUCGCUGAGGCUGCAGGUGCGGACACGCCAACCAGAUAGGCCGACUCGUGGCAGAUCUUUAUGAACUGGAAAGAAGUCACUGCAUUUGAAGUCUUUGGCUGAUGUUUGACGACAGAUCUGUGAGGAAAGAAUGUUCUCAGAUCACUCCCAGGAAGACAGGUCAUCCUUCACACGGCGUCAUUGAACAUUGUACGGCUGGUGUGUGUACAAAUGUAGUGGGCGAUAUGGAC